UUAUAUAAAAUGUUUAUUCAAAAUAAGGAUUGACCUUUCAUAUUUCUCUGGUCCCUAUCGCUCUCUCAAACCCACCCAAAUCACCACACUAGCUUUCAAUGUCCCUAAUAAUCAAUCAAGAAGGGCCUCUUACCCAGAUCGAUACUCAUUGGGCAUACUAACAGUGACUAUCUGAUCUUCUAAGUCUACCCCCAAGACUUCUAGGUGGCUGACUGCAGACAGAUAUGGUGUGGAGUUGUUGCAAUCAACGAUGUACCAUUGAUUGAGAGAACAAUCCGCACCAAUUCCAAAAGGGUAUGGAAUCGUCACCUUCCCGCACGUAUCAUUGCACCCUGUCUUGGCGUACUUUGGAAUUGCAGUGGAUGCUGAUGCCAUUGAAACAAAAAUGAGUAAACGUGUCCCUAUGGUUGUUAUGAAAGAGACUGUUGACGAACGAUGUGUUGUAGCGAAGCUUUUGUUGCGAUUGAAGCUCCUUUCAGAUUUUAUAUACAGGUGCUCGAUGAAAUGUCUGUGUGAAAAUCAGCAGUGACGGCCAGAGCCAGCGUAGGAGAUGGAGCCGGGUGGCAGUAUAAGAGCCGAAAGGACGUGUUUUGAUGACUUUUGAUUGAGGUUUCAUAGUUUUUCCGACAACCAGUGAGUUUAAGUGAAAAAAAAAAUCGAACUUUUCAACCAUUUUGUCACUCCAACCAGCAUUUCGGUCUACUGGUGGUGUUGGCGAUGCUACUGACUCCGGCGGGGGCGGAGGUUGAAUGUAUUCACACGGCUUACAAAUCAUCGAUGUGGCGCGAAGGCGGACUGAUACGUACAUUAGGUCAUCGCUUCGAACAGCUUUUGCUCAGCGACGGCCAGAGCCAGCGUAGGAGAUGGAGCCGGGUGGCAGUAUAAGAGCCGAAAGGACGUGUUUUGAUGACUUUUGAUUGAAGUUUCAUAGUUUUUCUGGCAACCAGUGAGUUUAAGUGAAAAAAAAAAAAUCGAACUUUUCAACCAUUUUGUCACUCCAACCAGCAUUUCGGUCUACUGGUGGUGUUGGCGAUGCUACUGACUCCGGCGGAGGCGGAGGUUGAAUGAAUUCACACGGCUUACAAAUCAUCGAUGUGGCGCGAAGUCGGACUGAUACGUACAUUAGGUCAUCGCUUCGAACAGCUUUUGCUCAGGUACGUUUUUAUUUGUUUUAAGUCAAUAAUAGCAUGGCUCAGAAAAUAUAUACCUGUCGUUAUGUGCAGCAAUUAACUGUUUGAUUUUGUACAGUCUG